AUUGAACGUUAGCGGCAGGCCUAACACAUGCAAGUCGCGCGAGAAUGGGGCUUCGGCUCCUAGUAAAGCGGCGGACGGGUGCGUAACACGUGGGUAAUGUGCCCUUCAGCGGGGGACAACAGUCCGAAAGGAUUGCUAAUACCGCAUACGUCGGCGAGUGCUUCGGCGCUUGUCGGGAAAGGUGGCCUCUCCAUGGAAGCUACCACUGAAGGAGCAGCCCGCGGCCCAUCAGCUAGUUGGCGGGGUAAUGGCCCACCAAGGCAAAGACGGGUAGCUGGUCUGGGAGGAUGAUCAGCCAAACUGGAACUGGAACACGGUCCAGACUCCUACGGGAGGCAGCAGUGGGGAAUAUUGGGCAAUGGGCGCAAGCCUGACCCAGCCAUGCCGCGUGAGUGAUGAAGGCCUUCGGGUCGUAAAGCUCUGUGGGGAGGGACGAACCAGCCGGGCGUGAAUAAUGCCGGGCCCUGACGGUACCUCCUUAGCAAGCACCGGCUAACUCCGUGCCAGCCGCCGCCGUAAUAC
rnacentral:rRNA from 1 species